rnacentral:piRNA from 1 species
UUAGGCAUGUAACGUGACUAC